UACGUAGGGUGCUAACGUUGUUCGGAAUCACUGGGCAUAAAGAGCGCGUAGGCGGUCUGUUAAGUGUGAAGUGAAAUCUCCAGGGCUCAACCCGGAAACUGCUUCGCAUACUGGCAGACUUGAGGAAUGCAGAGGUUUGUGGAAUUCCUGGUGUAACGGUGAAAUGUGUUGAUAUCAGGAGGAACACCCAUGGCGAAGGCAGCAAACUGGGCAUUAUCUGACGCUGAGGCGCGAAAGCGUGGGUAGCAAACAGG
rnacentral:rRNA from 1 species